rnacentral:lncRNA from 1 species
ACAAGACACAGACAAGUAACUCUCCAGCGGCAUGAAAUGCAUCCAGAAAUCCAAACCAUUUUGCCAGGUAUUUAAACAGAAAGGGUUGUGUCUAGAUUCACGCGGGGACUCGGCUUUUGACGUACACACUCUGUAUUUGGUUUAGCGUACUAGGGAAGAUCUAUUAAAGCCCUGAUUACUUAUGCUGCUUCCGUGUCUAUUCCCCGCGGUUACGAGGCAUACCAGAAGUCCAAGUUUCUUUGUUCUGUACCAGGACGGACGCUGGUCAUAAAUACUGAACCAUCGUAGCCCAGCCACUUCACCCACACCAGGGUAAAAGGGUGGGGGAGCGGAGGAGGGGCAAGGUUCCAUCCCGAGCACAACUACCAGAAACGGAAAAGCGACGGGGUGGGGGGCCAAACUGCCAAAUACAAACAGGACCCAAGCCAAGGGCGGGGACCUAAGCAGGGCGGGGAUCCAGGAAGCACCUCCCGAGCAGGUUCUAUGGCUCCCCCUACCAAGGGUAACUCUCUGGGUUUCCUCUCCCCGGACGUCGUGGGCACGCGCCCGACAGACUUUCGCCCCUAGGCCGGUUCCCAGUCCAGCUCCGGAGCCACCGUGCCGAGUUCUCCCAGGCCGCACUCACCCCGGAGGAAGCCUUGGCCCCCUCGUCCUCUUCGCCCCUCCAGGCCGGCGACGUGGGGCUGACGGCCAGGUCGCAAAAAGCAGGGCCGAGCGGAGCCCGCUCCCCUCGGUCGGCGGUGGAGACCCCGGCCCAAUCCCCCGGCCGCAGCGGUACGGCGUCGGCGGCAGCAGCUGACCCGGACACAGUGAGAAGCCCCGGCGGAAGUGAUAACAUCCCGACCUCCUCCGGGCGCGGCAGCCGGCGGUGGAGGCGGCGGGGGCGUGGCGGCGGCGGAGGCGUGGCGUCUUCUUGAAACCCACACAGCAUCCCCCCAACCCCCUCAGACGUCACGGGCUAGCGCUCGCGCCUGCACUCGCGGGGUCGGCCUUCCUUGCCUGUGGGCGGACCCGUCGCGUCGACUCCUUAUUGGUGGCGUUACUACGCCUCAAGGCGUUUCUUCCCUCUUUGCUGUUCGCAGGGACGCUGCCUGGUAGUUUCAGUUACUUUUGUUUUCUUUCUGCCUGCCUUUAUUGAUCAUUACAGUAGGUGAAAUUAUCGAUAUCAAUAAUAAUAUUGUAAUACAAUAGGUGCAAUUAUCAAUAUCAAUAUUAUUACAACAGGUGCAAUUAUCAGUAUCAUUACAAUAGGUGCAAUUAUCAGCGAUCAAUAAUGUGAAUUAUAAAAUGGAUGAAAUAAGGGGAGGAGGUCGGGCGCGGUGGUUUACGCUUGUAAUCCCAGCACUUUGGGAGGGCGAGGCGGGUGGAUUACCGGAGGUCAAGAGCUCGAGACCAGCCUGGCCAACAUGGUGACACCUCGUCUCUACUAAACAAACAAAAAUUAGCUGGGCGUGGUGGCGCGCGUCUGUAAUCCCAACUACUCAGGAGGCGAGGGCGGAGGCGGAGGCGGAGUUGGAGUUUGCAGUGAGCCGAGAUCGUGCCAUUGCACUCCAGCUUGGGCAACAGAGCAAAAACUCCGUCUCAAAUAAAAGGAAAAAGGAAAAAAAAAAAAAAAGAAAAAGAAAAAAAAGAAAUAAGGCGAGGAAAAAUAUCCGAGGCAUCAUUUUGGGGAGUUAGGCCUCAGAAGCGACCUUAGAGUUUGGUAAUAUUUGAGUGUGAAAAGCUUUACAGCAGUGCUUCUCUUCACUGGGGGAACGGUCGGUUUAUUUUUUUCAAUUUUCAAUUAGUUUUUGACAAGUUAAUAAAACAGAAAAAUGAAAAGACAUACAAAGUCCAAGUCAAAACUUUUUAUCGUUAGAGUUAACAGCCAUAAAAUUACCUGCAAAAUUGACAUAGAGUUUUCUACUCUCUCUCUGUGAACCAUUUGCAAACAGUUCUCAGAAGAGCCCAGGUCUAUAGACCAUGGUUAGAGUACUCAAGGUAAACUACUCAAAUUAGACCAUACUCAGCUGUAGAGUUUCAACCAAAUGAGAUUUGUUUGGAGAACAUCAUAGUCUCUCUCAGUUGGGCGUGCUGGCUCAUGACUGUAAUCCCAGCACUUUGAGAGGCCGAGUCGGUAGAUCGCCAGACCUCAGGGCAACAUGGCGAGACCCCAUCUCUUAAAAAAAAAAAAAAAAAAAGAGACAGAGAAAGAAAGAAAGAAAAAGAAGCAAAGAGAAAGAAAGGAAGAAAGAAAGAAAAGAAGAAAAUUAGGUGGGCUUGGUGGCAUGCACCUGUGGUCCCAGCCACUUGGGAGGCUGAGGUGGGAGACUCUCUGGAGCCUGGCAGGCGGCGGUUGUAGUGAGCCAAGAUCGCGCCACUCCACUCCAGCCUGGGUGACAGCGAAACCCUGUCUUAAAAAAAAAAAAAAGUCCCUUUCCAAAGUUUCAUCUGAUAAAUCCAUAGAAAGGCUCAGCAUCAAGUAUUUGGGUGAUUCCAUUGGGGUACGAUCAGGCCUGAGGGGAACAGAAAAGCUCAAAAUUUUAAAUCAUUGACUAAAAAUGCAGCAUUCUGCCUGGAUUUCACAUUGCUUUGGCAACAUUUACCCACCAUUGGUAGAUUAAAGUCCGUCUCUUUGAUAAAAUGGGAAGAAAAUAGUACCUACCUUAUAGGGUUUUUGUGAGAUGAAUUCAUAUAUAUGUAUUAGGACCUUGGUUGUCAUAUUGUAAUCACAUUUAAGUAUUAGGUAUUCUUUUUAUCCUAGUCUAGCAAUUUCACUAAAUAGCUAGUAGAGAAAACAAAACUGAUCAACAGAGCUUUAGCUAAACAACUACUUGGGCCAAGAAAUUUCAUCUUGAUUUACAGAAGUUUUUGUAGUUUCAUACUUUGCUUCUUCAGUUCUGCAAUGUGCAGAAUUCCCCACAGGGUGGCAGAAAAUCACUGGAAAUCAUAUAUAGUUAUGUGAUUUCUUUUUUUUAAGAUCUUCAGUUCCUUCUUCAUUUUAGUAACUUUAUUAUUUAAUAAGCUUGAUCAGUGUUUGCUUUGGUUUCGAGUAAGCCAUCCUAUUACUUAUCUUUUUAUCCCUAUCUUGUUAAUUAUCCAUACUUAUUGUUGAAACAUUACAAACUACAAGUAAGCCAA